GCUUUACACUUAAUUGUUUGAUUUUGUAAUUAAGGUUUAAAUUUAAUUGAAUAUAAAGUGUUGCAUUGGGGCGAUGUAAAUUUAAUAAGUAACAGUUAUUAGUUAAAAAUAAGUUAUAUUUAGUAAAGGAGAUCCUUUGUAGAGAUUUGAAGAAAAAGUU
rnacentral:rRNA from 1 species